UUUCACAAAACAUCUAUGAGUUUAGGAGACUGAACCCUUCUUCCUUGAUGGUGGACCCAAUCUUUUGGCAGUAGAAACUUGGAUUCUACAAAUAAAAAAGUUUUUCUCUAUUCUGGGCCUAAUUGAGGAACAGAAGAUCCUUUUUGCACUUUCAUGUUUGUAGGUGAAGCUAAGCAUUGGUGGCAGCUUAAGAAAGAUGUCCCACUCCUACAACCUGGGAUAUUUUUAUGGAUACCUUUCUAGAGAACUUCUUCCCAGUUUAUGUUCGAGAGAAAAGGAAGAGAAAUUUUAGGACCUAUGCUAAGGAAAUAUGACGGUUAACCAGUAUGCAACUAGGUCUGUUAGUUACCCUAGUUUGCCCUCUAGGAGUGAUCAUUUAUUGUGGGUUCAUAGUACUCAACAUUGAAGAGAUGGAAGCAACUGGAGUGUAGCCAAUCUUAGCAAGACCUUCGAUGGACUCUAUUACCAAAGGAUCCUAAUAAAUCUCGAUAAAAAGGAAUUUUCUAAUU
rnacentral:lncRNA from 1 species